CAGGUUUACCUGGAGAACAGGGUCCCCAAGGCUACAGAGGAGAGAAGGGCAGCAAAGGGGAGCUGGGUGAGUGGGGUUAUCAUGGGGAGGCUGGACCGCAGGGAAACAGUGGACAAAAAGGAGACAAGG